rnacentral:rRNA from 1 species
AUGUUUGAUGUUCUAACGUGGACCCGUAAUCCGGGUUGCGGACAGUGUCUGGUGGGUAGUUUGACUGGGGCGGUCUCCUCCUAAAGAGUAACGGAGGAGCACGAAGGUUGGCUAAUCCUGGUCGGACAUCAGGAGGUUAGUGCAAUGGCAUAAGCCAGCUUGACUGCGAGCGUGACGGCGCGAGCAGGUGCGAAAGCAGGUCAUAGUGAUCCGGUGGUUCUGAAUGGAAGGGCCAUCGCUCAACGGAUAAAAGGUACUCCGGGGAUAACAGGCUGAUACCGCCCAAGAGUUCAUAUCGACGGCGGUGUUUGGCACCUCGAUGUCGGCUCAUCACAUCCUGGGGCUGAAGUAGGUCCCAAGGGUAUGGCUGUUCGCCAUUUAAAGUGGUACGCGAGCUGGGUUUAGAACGUCGUGAGACAGUUCGGUCCCUAUCUGCCGUGGGCGCUGGAGAACUGAGGGGGGCUGCUCCUAGUACGAGAGGACCGGAGUGGACGCAUCACUGGUGUUCGGGUUGUCAUGCCAAUGGCACUGCCCGGUAGCUAAAUGCG